CAUGACUCGAGCAGGCAGCGCUGCUGGCCGCAGGUGUUGGGAUUUCUGAUUGUAAAAUUUCUUGUCCUAACCUGUGCUCAAACUUCGCAGAGCCAUUUAAUUGCCUUCUGCGGCGGCGAAGAUGUGAAAUUAGUCUCCCUUCUGAUCUUGAGCUAAGUUGGUCCAAAGCACCGUCUUAUAAUUUGCUCAGAUCAUCUCGCCGUCGGGUGGUGGAAGACACGGGGCCGGGGCUGCAGGGAGCACUGGAGUUCACACGGGACAGGAGUUCCACCUCGCUGUCCUGGAGUCACGCUGCUGGCAACAGCCGAGAAACGGAGCCGGUCUGGGGGACGGGGGAGAAGCUGAGGCAGGGGCAGCAGCAGGAAGAUGCCUGUCCCCAUCCAUCCUCUGCUGUCCCCGUGCUGGGGACAGCCUCCCUGACCUCCCGUCCAGGCUGGGCGCCUGCAGACGGACCUUUGGAGGCAUCAAAGGAGGUGGAGAUUCCAGCCCCUAUUGAAUUUCUAGUCCCCAACGACCUGAGGGGCAGGGGAAAGAAGGGAACUGGUUUUUGUCUGCUCGGUAUCUCAGACAAUCAAUGAAUUAAAGGGAAAUAAACUGCUGAUGAGGAGCGAACGUGGAGCUCGACGUGCUGCAAAACGUGAGGAGCAGAGAAGCGGCCGUGGCCAUUCCACAGUGCGGGGCAGGAAAGGGACGAUGGUGUGGGCACAGAGAAGGCCUUUCUUUCAUUUGUUCCUGGCCAAGAGCACACGCAGAUCGCCCUGGGGACAGCGGCACUUUCCUCCUCCGCGCAGAAUGUGCUGAAUGCGAGGGUAUUAUUUUUAACAGGGAUAUUUAGCUCCUCUUUACCCUCGUGUAGGUGGUUUACCCUCCACGGCCUCAAUCCCAGGGGAGGCUCCCGGUCAUCGCCCGGCCCCUAAGAACAGCGGAGGAGCAGCAGAGGCUCACAGACACGAGCUGUGCCUCGCCGUGACCGGGAGUUCAGUCCGGCCUCGCUGUGGGAGCGCGUGGAGCACAAAGCCGG
ensembl:lncRNA